UACGUAGGGUGCGAGCGUUGUCCGGAAUUAUUGGGCGUAAAGAGCUCGUAGGCGGUCUGUCGCGUCGAUCGUGAAAACUUGGGGCUUAACCCUGAGCUUGCGGUCGAUACGGGCAUGACUGGAGUUCGGCAGGGGAGACUGGAAUUCCUGGUGUAGCGGUGAAAUGCGCCGAUAUCAGGAGGAACACCGGUGGCGAAGGCGGGUCUCUGGGCCGAUACUGACGCUGAGGAGCGAAAGCGUGGGGAGCGAACAGG
rnacentral:rRNA from 1 species